rnacentral:rRNA from 1 species
CCUACGGGGGACAGCAGUAGGGAAUUUUCGUCAAUGGGCGCAAGCCUGAACGAGCAAUGCCGCGGGAACGAGGAAUGUCUUCGGAUCGUAAAGUUCUGUUGAAGGGGAAAAAGAGCGUAGAGAGGAAAUGGUCUCCGAUUGAUAUUACCCUUCGAGGAAGUCACGGCUAACUACGUGCCAGCAGCCGCGGUAAUACGUAGGUGGCGAGCGUUAUCCGGAAUGAUUGGGCGUAAAGGGUGCGUAGGCGGUCUGCUAAGUCUGGAGUGAAAGGUACCGGCUCAACCGGUACAGGCUCUGGAAACUGGCGGGCUAGAGAGCAGGAGAGGGCGGUGGAACUCCAUGUGUAGCGGUAAAAUGCGUAGAUAUAUGGAAGAACACCAGUGGCGAAGGCGGCCGCCUGGCCUGUGACUGACGCUGAGGCACGAAAGCGUGGGGAGCAAAUAGGAUUAGAUACCCCAGUAGUC